rnacentral:lncRNA from 1 species
ACAAAUCACACCUCUCUCUCUCUCUGUGUUUAGAUCAGAGCUCAGAGCCUCAGAGCUCUCACGUCUCUCUCUCUCUGCGACUCACGCUUCUCUCUCUCUCGGUGCUCUCUCAGCUCUCGCCGCCGGCUACCACCACCGAUACCGAAUCCACCAUCACCGGCACCGAAUCCACCACUACCAUGGAUCACUCCACCCCUCUCUCGAGUCCACCACCGUCGGCACCGAAUCCACCACCACCGGCAUCGAAUCUACCGAAUCCAUCACCCCCGGCACCGAAUCCA